AGCUUGCUACUUCGGCGUCGAGCGGCGGACGGGUGAGUAAUGCUUGGGAAUAUGCCUUUGAGUGGGGGACAACAGUUGGAAACGACUGCUAAUACCGCAUAAUGUCUACGGACCAAAGGGGGGGACGCUUCGGCACCUCUCGCUCAUAGAUUAGCCCAAGUGAGAUUAGCUAGUUGGUAAGGUAAAGGCUUACCAAGGCGACGAUCUCUAGCUGGUUUGAGAGGAUGAUCAGCCACACUGGAACUGGAACACGGACCAGACUCCUACGGGAGGCAGCAGUGAGGAAUAUUGCGCAAUGGGGGAAACCCUGACGCAGCGACGCCGCGUGGAUGAUGAAGGCCUUCGGGUCGUAAAAUCCUGUCAGAUGGGAAGAAAUGCAUAUGAACUAAUACUUCUUAUGUUUGACGUACCAUCAAAGAAGCACCGCUAACU
rnacentral:rRNA from 1 species